GCUGAUUGGGCAGCGCUGCCGGCCCGCGCUAUAGAAGGGCCGGCGGGGCAGGUGUGGGCGGUUGUGUGUGAGGGCUGAGGGUGCGGCCCCGCUGCUGCCCGGGCUGCGGAGGGGAGAGCGCCUUGGCCGCUGGCCUGGCUCGUGGUUUCCCCUGGUGCUGGGGAGUGGAGGCGAGUUGUGCUUCCUGCUGGGAGAGAGAACGGCCUUGGGAAGCUGCUCCAUGACCCACAGCUGUGCCGAGCCUGGGAGUCUGUCCAGCAGGAUGUUGAGUGCCACCAUGUCCCUGAGGUCACCCUUUCUGCUGUUGGGAGAGCACGAGGUGGAUGGAGAGGAUCCCCAGGCAUCUGCAGGCACAAGGGACUCGUACAACUGCGAUUUUCCUCCAGUUUUCAUAAGGUGGACUUUGAGGGUACCAUGGGGAAUAACUCCUGUCAGCAGCAAGGUCCUGACUGAAGUGGCAGCUGCAGUUGUUCCUGUGGUGUGGGCCAGUGGACUUGCAGGAGAGUGGAAGAGGGCAGAACCUGUAGGUAUUACCCCUACUGUGGGAUCUCUCCUGGUAAGGCAAACCCAGUAUCCUUUAAAAUCAGAAUGCCAGACUGGAUUGGUUGCAGUAACAGCUAAAUUUGCUCCUCCUGGUUUGCUUGUAGAAUGUGAAUGCAAGAACCUGCCAAGAAAACCAAUGGCCAAGAUGAUUCAUGAGUGCAGGACCUGAGAGAACCCCCUUGAAUGACAACCUCGAGUAGUUUCCAGUAUUGGUUUUAAAAGAUGGCCUUUGCUGCAUCUCCUUGAGCAAGGAAAGCCAAGAAACCUUUGCCU